UAAUACGAAGGGGGCUAGCGUUGUUCGGAAUUACUGGGCGUAAAGCGCGCGCAGGCGGUUUCUCAAGUCAGUGGUGAAAGCCCGGAGCUCAACUCCGGAACUGCCAUUGAAACUGUGAAACUUGAGGACGAGAGAGGUGAGUGGAAUUCCCAGUGUAGAGGUGAAAUUCGUAGAUAUUGGGAAGAACACCGGUGGCGAAGGCGGCUCACUGGCUCGUUUCUGACGCUCAGGCGCGACAGCGUGGGGAUCAAACAGGAUUAGAUACCCUGGUAGUCCACGCCGUAAACGAUGAACGCUAGCCGUUGGGUAGCUUGCUAUUCAGUGGCGCAGCUAACGCAUUAAGCGUUCCGCCUGGGGAGUACGGCCGCAAGGUUG
rnacentral:rRNA from 1 species